ensembl:lncRNA
AGUUCUCACCACAAAUCCUGUUGAAAUAGAUCUCACCCUUAUUGCUUUCAAAGAUCACAUCAGGAUCUCACCCUGGUUCCUGUUGAACCUGUUCCUGUUAAAAAAAAAAAUAUAUCACCAUAAUUCAAACUAAAGAUCUCACCCUGGAUCCUCUUCACAAUCUUAUCAGGAUCUCACCCUGGUUCCUGUUAAAGCUCCUCUCCAGAUUAAAGAUCUCACUUGUUGGACUUGUUGAAGCUCAUCUCUGAAGAUCUGCCGUGUGGACUGAGACACCGAGGUGGACGUGCUGCAUGUUGCUCCUUUCCUCCUGUCGCGGCUUUUCACCGAGUGCGAAGGCUGGAGAGAAACUGUGAAGCGUGUAAAACUGUUCUGCGUUCGAGUAUGUUUUCAUUUUCUCCAUUUUACAGAUGUGUGUGUGAAGGAAAGUGUGUGUGUGUGUGUGUGUAGGAGGUCUUCAGCAUAAAGUCCAGUGUUAUAACUGGAAGUGUGAAUUUCCUCUGUGCUAUGUUAUGGACAUUAUAAUGCUUUCAUUUAUGUUCAUGGAUCCUGUACCGUCUCAGCGCAUAUUUUUAAAAACAAUAGCAGUCUUUGUUUAUUUUAUUUUUUUGGGUGGUUCAGGACGCAGUGAAAGAAAGAACUCCUGUUCGCACUCCUUAUUUUUAUUUAUUGGCUUUAAAAGCCAGCGCUCUUCCCACUCUUCAGGUUAAUCAGACUCAAAGUGAUAUACCUCUUAAUGUAAAUCUCCUUCCUCAUAUUAGUAUUAUAAUUAUUACUCACCUGUAUCCUCACCUGAUAAUGAAUGCAAAUGCAUUUCAUUCUUUAUUUCUUGAUUUUAUGAUUUCUCAGUAGCUCUGAGAUCAACAUCAUUAACCGCCUCUUUGUUAAACUUUAUUCCCAGUGGAUUAAUAACACAUUGUGGAGCCUCUAUUUCAGGUCUUUUUUUUUUUUUUUUUAUAAAGGUGAAUGUUAAAAUGUUGUGAGAAUGGAGGAAUGGAGGAGCUCUGUAUGCAAUUCCACUCUGAGCCAGAAGAG